UACGUAGGGUGCGAGCGUUAAUCGGAAUUACUGGGCGUAAAGCGUGCGCAGGCGGUUCGCAAAGUCUGAUGUGAAAGCCCCGGGCUCAACCUGGGAACUGCAUUUGUGACUGCACGGCUAGAGUGUGUCAGAGGGGGGUAGAAUUCCACGUGUAGCAGUGAAAUGCGUAGAUAUGUGGAGGAAUACCGAUGGCGAAGGCAGCCCCCUGGGAUAACACUGACGCUCAUGCACGAAAGCGUGGGGAGCAAACAGG
rnacentral:rRNA from 1 species